CGUGUCGUGAGAUGUUGGGUUAAGUCCCGCAACGAGCGCAACCCUUGAUCUUAGUUGCCAGCAUUCAGUUGGGCACUCUAAGGUGACUGCCGGUGACAAACCGGAGGAAGGUGGGGAUGACGUCAAAUCAUCAUGCCCCUUAUGACCUGGGCUACACACGUGCUACAAUGGACAGAACAAAGGGCUGCGAGACCGCAAGGUUUAGCCAAUCCCACAAAUCUGUUCUCAGUUCGGAUCGCAGUCUGCAACUCGACUGCGUGAAGCUGGAAUCGCUAGUAAUCGCGGAUCAGCAUGCCGCGGUGAAUACGUUCCCGGGCCUUGUACACACCGCCCGUCACACCACGAGAGUUUGCAACACCCGAAGUCGGUGAGGUAACCUUUAUGGAGCCAGCCGCCGAAGGUGGGCCA
rnacentral:rRNA from 2 species